rnacentral:rRNA from 1 species
GUAGGUGAACCUGCGGAAGGAUCAUUAUUGAAAAGCGAUCCGAAGGGAGGGCGAGCGAGCGAAGUUUGGUAGAUCGUAGGGAUUGUCGCUGGCCUUUGGAAACGAAGGCAUGUGCACGUUCCGAGUUCUCCUCAGUCCUCGUUUCGUCUUUCCUUUGGAAAACCUUCAUUCACACCUGUGCACCCAUUGUAGGUCCCGCGAGGGAUCUAUGUUUUUAUCUACUCCAAAAGUCUAGAAUGUCAUUAAUACGUCGAUCGGCCUGGCUAGCGCCUCGUUGGCGACGGUAAAGAAUCAUAUACAACUUUCAGCAACGGAUCUCUUGGCUCUCGCAUCGAUGAAGAACGCAGCGAAUUGCGAUACGUAAUGUGAAUUGCAGAUUUUCAGUGAAUCAUCGAAUCUUUGAACGCACCUUGCGCUCCUUGGUAUUCCGAGGAGCAUGCCUGUUUGAGUGUCAUCGAAUUCUCAACCAUCCUUUGAUUGAUUUCGAGGGGUGGCUUGGAUUUUGGGAGUUGCCGGCUUGACCUCGUUGGGGUCGGGUCGGCUCUCCUUAAAAGCAUUAGCGAAAGGUGGCAAGCCCCUGCAUGCACGGCCUUCGACGUGAUAAUGAUCGUCGUGGCUGGAGUGCGAGGCGUGGAUCGGCCUUUGCUUCUAAACAAAUCGUACUGGGGGGACGACCCUCUUUACUUUUCUGACGCUGACCUCAAAUC